rnacentral:rRNA from 1 species
GACGAAUUCUGGCGGCGUGCUUAACACAUGCAAGUCGAACGGUAAGGCUCCAGCUUGCUGGGGUACACGAGUGGCGAACGGGUGAGUAACACGUGGGUGACCUGCCCUGCACUUCGGGAUAAGCCUGGGAAACUGGGUCUAAUACCGGAUAGGACCGCACCGUGAGGGUGUGGUGGAAAGUUUUUUCGGUGUGGGAUGGGCCCGCGGCCUAUCAGCUUGUUGGUGGGGUAAUGGCCUACCAAGGCGGCGACGGGUAGCCGGCCUGAGAGGGUGGACGGCCACAUUGGGACUGAGACACGGCCCAGACUCCUACGGGAGGCAGCAGUGGGGAAUAUUGCACAAUGGGCGGAAGCCUGAUGCAACGACGCCGCGUGGGGGAUGACGGCCUUCGGGUUGUAAACUCCUUUCACCAUCGACGAAGGGUUUCUGACAGUAGAUGGAGAAGAAGCGCCGGCUAACUACGUGCCAUCAGCCGCGGUAAUACGUAGGGUGCGAGCGUUGUCCGGAAUUACUGGGCGUAAAGAGCUCGUAGGUGGUUUGUCGCGUCGUCUGUGAAAUUCCGGGGCUUAUCUCCGGGCGUGCAGGCGAUACGGGCAUAACUUGAGUACUGUAGGGGAGACUGGAAUUCCUGGUGUAGCGGUGAAAUGCGCAGAUAUCAGGAGGAACACCGGUGGCGAAGGCGGGUCUCUGGGCAGUAACUGACGCUGAGGAGCGAAAGCAUGGGGAGCGAACAGGAUUAGAUACCCUGGUAGUCCAUGCCGUAAACGGUGGGCGCUAGGUGUGGGUUUCCUUCCACGGGAUCCGUGCCGUAGCUAACGCAUUAAGCGCCCCGCCUGGGGAGUACGGCCGCAAGGCUAAAACUCAAAGGAAUUGACGGGGGCCCGCACAAGCGGCGGAGCAUGUGGAUUAAUUCGAUGCAACGCGAAGAACCUUACCUGGGCUUGACAUAUACAGGAUCGCGCCAGAGAUGGUGUUUCCCUUGUGGCUUGUAUACAGGUGGUGCAUGGUUGUCGUCAGCUCGUGUCGUGAGAUGUUGGGUUAAGUCCCGCAACGAGCGCAACCCUUGUCUUAUGUUGCCAGCACGUUGUGGUGGGGACUCGUAAGAAACUGCCGGGGUUAACUCGGAGGAAGGUGGGGAUGACGUCAAAUCAUCAUGCCCCUUAUGCCCAGGGCUUCACACAUGCUACAAUGGUCGGUACAGUGGGUUGCCAGUCCGUGAGGGCGAGCUAAUCCCGCAAAGCCGGUCUCAGUUCGGAUCGGGGUCUGCAACUCGACCCCGUGAAGUCGGAGUCGCUAGUAAUCGCAGAUCAGCAACGCUGCGGUGAAUACGUUCCCGGGCCU